CCUACGCGGACGCGAGUGCGCGGGAGCCUGACUGGGGCCGGGCUCUGCAGGAGACUCGGGAAGGGGUGCUCUUUUUGGGGCACUUAGAAUGAUGCUGUUUGAGGCUUGGAAAUGUGGGAGGAGCGGAAGGACGGCAGUUCAGUUUGGAUUAUGGAUCUGGACCGGGCGGUGGGGGGCGGUGCGCCCCAGGAAGUGUACGGGAGCACAGUCGCCGGUGCCCCAGGGGCGCGAGAGGCGCCAGGUACAAGGGCUGGCUCAGUAUUUUCUCGCUUCCGCUGAGUGGCCUCAGUUUCCUUACCUGAAGAGUGGGGUAAUAGUGCGGAUUUCAAAGGGCGUUUCGGUAGUUAGGUGGGGUAAAGUCUGUAAAGCAUCUAGGACACAGUGCUUCCUUAUGAAAAAAUAAUUUCCUUUCCGAAAGAAAGGAAAGAAAGAAAGGAGAGAGAGAGAAAAGAAAAAGAAAAGAAAAGAAAGACCAACUUAUAAGUAGGGCAGACCGUGUCUGGAUUGUCUCUCUUCGCCUCGUACUUUUGGAACAAAUACAUGUCUAUACAAAGUUCACCGUUUUUCCAGAGCCUCCUUUUCUACCGUGGGAGGCGGUGCUGAGCCCUGGCGCUGACGCACCGACACGUAUCAGUGAUCCGCUAGGAGCAGAGCGGGACCCAAGCUGCUUUUAGCAGCCGCUUGGGACAACGCCAAUGAGUACUUGCCCCUGCCAGCUCCGCAGCUACUUUAAGAUGGGGAGGGGAGGCGGAGGCCCGAGGGGCCGGCGGCCUGGCAGACGUCCUUCUCCAGGACAUCCAGCUUGCAGAGCAACCGCAGAUGAAAGCUUUGAUGAUGUGGAAUGUGGAAAUUUUUGGAAAAGGAUCCUGUCAGAAGGAAGUACUCUUGCUGUGUCUGCUGUAGGAAGGCCCAGUUAAGAAUGCCUGGAGACAACGGAGCCAAAUAUACACUAAGGGCCAGGAGUCAGAUUCUCACUUUACACGCAGCUGCCAUUUUGAAAAAAAAAGACUAUUUCACUGUCAUUAUUUCAUUUUAUAAUUCUUCUAAAAUGUGUUUUAAAAAUCAAUAACUAUUAUUUGUUUCUCAUUCAUACUGCAUUAUUGGCCAGAUACUGAAACUCUUCAUGCCAUAGGGUGCAUUGUGCUUUAGUUUGGGAACUUUCAGGGCAAUAGACCACUAAGUAAAACUGGCUUAGUUAAGGAGGUUACUUAAUUAAUAUGGUAUGUCAGUCAAUCUGAAGCAGGAAGUUCCACUAUUGUGACUCAGUGUUAGGCCUGCAGAUAGGCUUCUAGGCUCUUGGCUUCCCUUUUGGUUACAUGGGGCCUCCUGUUGUCAGGUCAUCACAUUUCAUAGGACCUCAGCAGAGGCAAGAAAGAUGGCAGAGCCUACCCCUGUGCAACUGUCCUACUAGAAAAGAAAACCUUUCCUUGAAGAUCUUCUCUUUAGUAGGUCACGUUGUUGGAAGCAUUACACCAUUCUUAGCUGCAAGGGAGGCUGGGAAAGUGAGCAUCUGGUGGGUGGCAGGUGACAGGUGGGGUCUAGUGGCAGGAAGUCAAGGAAGUGAGAAUGGCUAUUGAGCAGGUAAACCACAGUCAGCCGCACAUUACUAGUUGAAAUUAACUUUCAAGCAAUAUCAUUUAGCAAUAUGCAUAGUCUUCCAGGGUAUUUUGUUCAGGCUAUUCAUUAAAUAUGAUCUAGAUCCAAGAAAACUUUGAUAUUUACAUUUUUUUCCUUUAGAAAUUCACACAGUACAAUUCUCUGUACAGUUGGUAUGAAAUAAAUGUCCAACAGUUUACUACAUGUUUUAUUUAUAAUGUGUAUCCCCGGGGUAGUAUCAACCGCUUAGUUCCUUAUGUUUAAGCCCCUCCCUUCCCUUUUGAGACUUUGUACAAACAAGGACAUAUUCUGGAAUUUUAGAUUUUUUUUUCUUUAAGUCUUAUACCAUGUAAUAUUAAAAAAUAGUCAAGUAUAUUAUAGGAGAAACUGUACGAAUACCAUCUGUGAAGGCCAUGUAAGUCAAAGAAUCUUUAUAUUAAAAAAUGUUGGUGUAUAAGAGUUUACUUCUGGGUACAGUGAAUCACUUAAAAUGAGGUCUUUUACAUUAGUAAUACAGUAAUAACUAUAAGGCAACUAAGUGCAGGCGAUGGGGUGACAAUGACAUUUCUUUCUAGUUUGUUUAUCUUUGACCAGGCUUAGGUAAUUUGAUGUAUUUUAAUUUGAGAGGUGAUAGCACUUUAGUUUUUGUCUGGUAUGAGUCCUCACAUGCUCUCUCAGAAGCAAAUGUACUUUCAUAGGAUUAACCUUAUUAGUUUAUAAUAAGUAUAAUUCAUAGUAUAAUUUAAAGACAGCAUAAGAAAAAAAGGAUGCAUUAGUAGGUGGAAUUUACAUAAAUUGUAUCACAUUAAUGUGAACUCCUGGAUGCUUUCCUCAAAACACAGUCCUGUAGGGUUUGGUUUGGUUUUCCACUAGGGCGCCUGGGUGGCU